AUUUUCUUCAUUGAUCAUGUGAUUAAUAGUAUUCGAGAACAAAUUACGUCGUUAACACGUUAAGCGUCAAACCUAUUUGAUCUUCCUUUUCGUUUAACCCGCGAUAUACAAUUUCACUAAUAUGUUGGCGCCCGGAAAUCUCUAAAUGCUUUCUCUUCAGCCAGUUAUCUGAUCUGUUUUUUAGUGCAGUUUAAAAAUAUUUUAUU